rnacentral:rRNA from 1 species
GAUGAACGCUGGCGGCGUGCCUAAUACAUGCAAGUCGAGCGAACGGACGAGAAGCUUGCUUCUCUGAUGUUAGCGGCGGACGGGUGAGUAACACGUGGAUAACCUACCUAUAAGACUGGGAUAACUUCGGGAAACCGGAGCUAAUACCGGAUAAUAUUUUGAACCGCAUGGUUCAAAAGUGAAAGACGGUCUUGCUGUCACUUAUAGAUGGAUCCGCGCUGCAUUAGCUAGUUGGUAAGGUAACGGCUUACCAAGGCAACGAUGCAUAGCCGACCUGAGAGGGUGAUCGGCCACACUGGAGCUGAGACACGGUCCAGACUCCUACGGGAGGCAGCAGUAGGGAAUCUUCCGCAAUGGGCGAAAGCCUGACGGAGCAACGCCGCGUGAGUGAUGAAGGUCUUCGGAUCGUAAAACUCUGUUAUUAGGGAAGAACAUAUGUGUAAGUAACUGUGCACAUCUUGACGGUGCCUAAUCAGAAAGCCACGGCUAACUACGUG